AAUGAAUGAUUUGAUAACGUAUCACCUGGCCUAUAAAAAUUUCUUAGAUCCUGGAGCUCAAUUUCCAUACAUUUUUUCUCACUUUUCAGGGCAGUGUUUUCAACCUCCAAAACCUCUAUGCUUACUUUCAUUUGAUCUAAUAUAUUAUUAUUUUCCAUCAGCUUCUUAUCAGUUUCAAUAGCAUGUUCUAUUGCAUCGUUCCAUUGCUGUUUCAAAGUUGCCAUUUUAUCCAUCAAAUCAUUGAUUUCUUUUCGCAAUGAUAGAACUGUCAAAUCUUCAUCGUUACGCAUAGCAUUCGAAAUCGAUUAUGUUGGAGAACUCGUAUUUAUAGGGGUGCUACACGAGUUGUUUUUAUUAAAGACUUCAGGAUCAGCUGAUGCUAUCACUUCAGAAUUUUCAACAGGCAAAAUAGAUUCGCUAAAAGCAGCAACAUUAUUAUCAUGAAAGGUUAUUUCAUUCAGCGAUAACAAGCUAUUAUCAGUAGUCGAGAUAUCAGUGACUUUCGGUAAAUGAUCAUUUAUGGAUCUCUCCAUUACUGCAACAUUGUCAGGAGAUUUCCUAUUUGAAUCAUUUAGAGAUAAUGAAUUAUCUUCCAUAGCGCUGCCUGAGGUGUUAGGUGGAUGAUUAUGCUUGCAGGUUGGAGUGGACUCAAGAGAAUACGCUUGGUCUGUUUUUAUUGAAAUUUUGCAUUCCUUUUUUAAACAUCGCCAAAUUAUGUAACCCUGGGAUGAAGUUCUAUCUUUCCUAAAUUUAUAUCCAUCGAGAAUCACCGCAGGAUUACCCUUACUAGUUAUGGCCUCUUGCAACUUCAUCACAGAGUAAAUCUCUAAUAUAUCUAUUAAUAAUAUCAAUUUAAUUAUUAUUAUCACUAAUUUGAAUGCUAUUAUUUUGAGCUACUUUUAUUUAGUUAUGUAGAAACCAGUUAAUUUAGAAUGAAAUCGGGAAAUAAUUUGAUUUAUCUAUUUUUAGCCUAUCAAAAAUUAUAAUUUUACAGAAAAAACCUGAAGAAUUGACGUGAAAAAUUGGGUUUACGUUCGUUCGAUCAAUUAGAACCUUAAAAACAAAAAUGUUCAGAAAAGUUGUUAGGUUUUGUGGAAGAAGAACAAAAGAGGAUUUUGUGAAGAGAAGGUGACAAGGAAUAUAAGGAAUAAUAAGAUAGCUUACAAGGAUAAUCUACAGACCGGGAGAGGUUGAAUUAAUCGCUCAAAAACAGAUAGACACAAAUAAAAAACCCGAAAAUGUUCAAAAUCUACGGCAUAUAACAAUUCAAUGAAGAAUUUGAAAAUCUAUUCAAGUUACUAGAGAGAGUGGCUUGUGUUGAAUUCGCGUGUGCCCCGUCCCACCCCGGGCCAAAGGCGAAUGUCACAGGGUGCAGUGUUUACAGAUAUUACACGGCAACCUGCUCAUUCAACAAUCCACUAUACAGUGUAUAGGUAGUCAAAAUUAUACGAACUGUAGUCGCAGCCUUGAGCUGAUCAGACAGAUAUCUGUAGAUAGUUAAGAAAACCAAAUCAGGAAAGUGGAAGAAGGAAGUCAACGGUUCAGGAUUGACAAGCAAAAAGCAACUAUAGGCUCUAUUAUGAACUAUUUAUCAUUAUCCACUUAUAUUGUUUGAAUUAUUAUAUUCUCUUGUUUUUAGAUAUAACCGUUUGAAAGAAGGGAAUUUGUGGAGAAAUUAGAAUUGAAUAUAAUGUAUAGUAUUUUCAAUCAACUAGGCUCUAUUAUGAACGAUUUAUAGUUAUUUACUUAUAUUGAAUUAUUAUAGUCUUUGUUUCAGAUAUUAUAGAAAAACAAUUAUGAAGCUCAACUUAUCAAAAGGGAAACUUAUGGAAAUGUUGUUUAACCACAGUUAUUACUAAUUUUGGUUUUUUUUUAUAAUAGAAAUGUUUAGAAGAGUGAAAUUAUUUAACAAAAGACAAAUUUAUCGAACAGUGUUCUAGAAAUAAUUUGACGUUACGGUACUUAAUUUAUGAUUAAUUAGAGAAUUGAAAUGCUGUAAGAAAAAAGGAUUCGAAAAUUGAUGCUCAAUUGAAGAGAAACUGUUAUCUUUAGUGUUCACACCAAUAUCAAUCGGAACCAACGAUUCUUAUCAAAACGAUAAAGGCACACCCGAAAAACAAAACCAGUGAUAAAGUAAUAUUAUACUGAAAGGUAAAUUUAAAAACUCCUUAUCGGUCAACCUGUCUUCGAAAAUCCCGUCACUCGCUCAAGAAUCCAACCUCCAACUCCAAUUGAGCUACUCCAGAAGGACAUAUAAUAGAAUACUUACAGUUUCCAGGAUCAAAAUAUCUAAGUACACAACCAAGUAACACCUGAAUAAAAACACCACUACUCUUUUGGAGACACAAAGAUUAAAUUUAUCGAAAGUAAACACGAUUUAUUGUAGACACGAUUUCACUACCAACUUCUCACUGCAGGCAGGUCUGCCCAAUGACUCCUUGAAGGUGCAGACUUGGAAAUGGUAUCAUUCUCUUCGUGAUGAUGUGUAGAAAGAGAAUGUCUAUGAUGGUAAUCUCAAAAAUAUUUGUCAUCAUAGGAAAAUCUAAGAUAUUAUUAUUGACAGUCCAAAAAAGUGUCUGUCAAUGAUGAAGCCAUUGUGGAUUUUUCUAUGAGGGCAAAUAUUUUUGAGAUUGCCAUCAUAGACAUUCUCUUUCUACACAUUAUUAUUAUUAUUAUUAUUGAAAAAUAUUUUUUGUCUUAAUAACUAAGUAGCCGUAGAUCAAUUCUGAUCUCAAGACUAAAAUAGUUACAAUUCAAAGCAGAGACUCAUUCACUCUUCUCCAGAUCAGAGGCUUAGAAACUUACGUACAAUAUUAGUUGUACCAAGAACUGCUGCUUUCUGCAUAAUUAUCAUAUGCCAGUUCUCCAACUGCAGUUGUUCCAUUGCUUGUCUCCAUUCUUUUGUGACCAGUCCAUUGGCAGACACUACUAUAGGGAUUAUCACCACCUUCCUUAAUUUAUUUAUACUUAUCUUUCAAUUCAACUGACAGGGGUUGGUAUUUUCUUUUCUUUUCGGCAAUGGUACUCACACGAUUCUCAUCAAGGGGCACUGCCACAUCAAUUAUGUAAGCCUCUUUAUUCUUUCUGUCAAACAAGACGAUGUCUGGCCUGUUAGCCUCCACUGCUCUGUCAGUUGUCAUACAACAAUCCCAAAGAAGUCUUCCCUUUUCACCAUUCAAGACCAUUUCUGGCUUACACUUGUAAUAGGGCACCUCAAUCGCUAUCAACUCAUAUCUUUUCGCCAUUGCCUGAUGAACCACUUUGGCCACAUUGUUGUGCCUCUGCAAAUACUCUGUAUUAGCUAGUAACGAGCAACCACCACAAAUAUGCUGUAUCGAUUUCCUGCAGAGCCGACAGCUACUAUCCACUGUGAGUCACAUCACAUAUCUUUUGUAAGCUCUAGUGCUGAUUACCUGGUCCUGAAAGGCAAACAUGAAACCUUCAGUCUCACCGAAUAUUCCACUAGUCUGCAACCAUUCAAUUGAUUCUUUUCUGUCAACACAAUCAGAAUGAAGUGCUGCAGCAAAUCUUCCAUGCAGCUCUUUCUGCUUCCACGCUUCCAGCCUCUCUUCUACUGAGCUGGCUGUUAGCUGUUGGACUCCAUGUGCCAGCUGCAAUGGGCUGUACUUCCUGUCUACCAGACAAACGGCCUUUAGCAGACCACUGUUUGCAUUCUGGAAGUAUUUCCGCAGUCUGUCUUCCUGUUGACGACACAGUCUCCAAUCUCAAGAGGAAGAUGUGAGAGAAUGAAAGAAUGGUGUUUGCACUGCAUUUGGUUUGGCAAACCUUCCAAAACCUUAUAGAAGGAUUAAUUUGGCGGUGCAAUCCAUUAAGAAGGCACUGGAAUUAUACCCGAAUUUUCUUAACCAUUAUGUUGGUGUGAUCUACUAUCGCUAUAUGAAGGAGCUGUACGAGAAAACAAAAACUGCUAGUAACGCGGAAAUAAUACAAGCGAUAAAGAACUGGCUGCGCACUGCGCCACAGCGAGCAAAUUCGAAAAUAGCAUGAAGGAAUGUUGCUCCAGAGCUAACAGAAGGAGGCACCGGGGACGUCUGAAAUUGAGUGGAAUUUUUAUCAUUUGGGAAUUUUUUUAAUCAUCCUCUAUUAUAUGAUUAACUGUACUCAUGUAUUGCUUAAAUUUAUUCAAUAUUUUCAACUUGUGAAUCGAUUGUUCUGUUAGUUUGUAUUUUUUACAAUACACUAUUGUAACUUAUAUGAAAGACACAGUAUGUAACUCAUGUUUAUAAACAAUCAUGUUUCUCAAGAAUUGAACAUUUAUGUUUUUAGGAAUGAAAUUGAUACUGACAAAAUAAACUGUGUUAUUAUUUAGUUUGAUAUUUUGACCACAUUUCUGAAUUUCUUUGAAUGUCCUCUAAAAAAUGUGGAUAUCUUUCAGAUAUCUAGAGGAUACCUAUGGAUAUCCCAUCAAUAUCCAAACAUGCUCAUAGAUCCAAAUUUGGUCAAACAAAAUUUACAUCCAAAUUUGUCAAACAUUUUUAUGUAAAUAUAUUAUUUCAUGGAUAUCCAUUAGUGUAUAUGUGGUUUUUGUGUGGACUUUUUUAUAUGUCCAAAUGGUCAUUUUUUGAUAUUGUAUGGAUAUCCAAGAGCUAUUUUGUGCUUGUCUGACGGUUCUUAAGGAUAAGUGGAUAUUGAAACCAAUAAA